CACUGGGAUCUCCCUGGUCCUUAAAGUUACCUGGAAGUGACAACUCCCUAACUCCUUUCCUGUCAGCAAGCCACCAAGGAGUCAUCCCCAAGGCCUGAGUACAUGUGGCAGCAUGAAAAACCUUUGGAACCACUAACACAGCAGAGCACCUAGAGUGGACCCAGGGUACCUGAUAGGUCCUUUUUCCUUUGGCACACAGACCAUUUUCUAUAGGGAUUCCAGAAUCCUAUAAGAUUCUCUAGGGUCUUCUGCAGGAAUUGGCAUAUCACUUGGGACUUUAUCACCCACACCUAUAAUCUUUACAUUCUGAAGAUACUCCAUUCCUCUGGAUCACAAAACGACCGAGCCUUGUAUUUUCUGACACAACAUGCUGUAGCUCCUCCUGUGGCUUCCUCAAGAGUGGAAUUGGUGUGCCUCACGGCUUCAGCAGUGUCAUGGAAAAAGUGAUGACCUUACAUUCAUAAGUCUCCAGGUCCUAGUCCUGCUACCUACUAUGUGUUUGACCUUGGGUAAGUCAUAGCCUCCUUGUGCUUGAUCUUUCUCAUCUGUAAAAUUUUAUAAU
rnacentral:lncRNA from 1 species